rnacentral:rRNA from 1 species
GACGAACGCUGGCGGCGUGCCUAAUACAUGCAAGUAGAACGCUGAAGAGAGGAGCUUGCUCUUCUUGGAUGAGUUGCGAACGGGUGAGUAACGCGUAGGUAACCUGCCUGGUAGCGGGGGAUAACUAUUGGAAACGAUAGCUAAUACCGCAUAAAAUUGAUUAUUGCAUGAUAAUUAAUUGAAAGAUGCAAUUGCAUCACUACCAGAUGGACCUGCGUUGUAUUAGCUAGUUGGUGAGGUAACGGCUCACCAAGGCGACGAUACAUAGCCGACCUGAGAGGGUGAUCGGCCACACCGGGACUGAGACACGGCCCAGACUCCUACGGGAGGCAGCAGUAGGGAAUCUUCGGCAAUGGGGGGAACCCUGACCGAGCAACGCCGCGUGAGUGAAGAAGGUUUUCGGAUCGUAAAGCUCUGUUGUAAGAGAAGAACGGGUGUGAGAGUGGAAAGUUCACACUGUGACGUAUCUACCA